UGGGGAAUUGUUCGCAAUGGGCGCAAGCCUGACGACGCAACGCCGCGUGGAGGAUGAAGAUCUUCGGGUCGUAAACUUCUUUCGAUCGAGACGAAUUCCUCUGGGGUGAAUAAUCCUGGAGGUUGACGGUACCGAGAGAAGAAGCCCCGGCUAACUCCGUGCCAGCAGCCGCGGUAAUACGGGGGGGGCAAGCGUUGUUCGGAAUUACUGGGCGUAAAGGGCUCGUAGGUGGCCAACUAAGUCGGACGUGAAAUCCCUCGGCUUAACCGAGGAACUGCGUCCGAUACUGGUUGGCUUGAGUUUGGGAGAGGGAUGCGGAAUUCCAGGUGUAGCGGUGAAAUGCGUAGAUAUCUGGAGGAACACCGGUGGCGAAGGCGGCAUCCUGGACCAAUACUGACGCUGAGGAGCGACAGCCAGGGGAGCAAACGGG
rnacentral:rRNA from 1 species